CUGGCUCAGGUUGAACGCUGGCGUCAUGCUUAACACAUGCAAGUCGAACGAAAAUUAUAAAAAUUAAGUUCGGCUUUAGUUUGUUAUUUAGUGGCGGACGGGUGAGGUAACGCGUAAGAACCUACCUUAUGGUGAGGGAUACCAACUGGAAACGGUUGCUAAUACCCCAUAUGCUGAGAAGUAAAAGGUGUACUACAUCGCCAUAAGGAGGGGCUUGCGUCUGAUUAGUUAGUUGGUGGGGUAAAUGCUUACCAAGACUAUGAUCAGUAGUUGGUCUGAGAGGACGAUCAGCCACACUGGGACUGAGACACGGCCCAGACUCCUACGGGAGGCAGCAGUGAGGAAUUUUCCGCAAUGGGCGAAAGCCUAGACGGAGCAAUGUCGCGUGGAGGAAGAAGGCCCGUGGGUCGUAAACUCCUUUUGUCAAAGAAGAAAAAAUGACGGUAUUUGACGAAUAAGCAUCGGCUAACUCCGUGCCAGCAGCCGC
rnacentral:rRNA from 1 species